rnacentral:rRNA from 1 species
AGGUGCUGCAUGGCUGUCGUCAGCUCGUGCCGUGAGGUGUUGGGUUAAGUCCCGCAACUAGCGCAACCCUCAUCCUUAGUUGCCAGCAUUAAGGUGGGCACUCUAAGGAAACUGCCGCAGUUAAUGCGGAGGAAGGUGGGGAUGACGUCAAGUCCUCAUGGCCCUUAUGUCCAGGGCUACACACGUGCUACAAUGGGUGGAACAAAGGGUUGUGAACCCGUAAGGGGGAACUAAUCCCAGAAAAGCACUCUCAGUUCGGAUCGCAGUCUGCAACUCGACUGCGUGAAGUCGGAAUCGCUAGUAAUCGUGGAUCAGAAUGUCACGGUGAAUACGUUCCCGGGUCUU